CGCCGGGCCAAGGCAUAAACAAGUGGCCCGGGCUGGGUGUGGCGGGACCGCGCUCGCCUAGGUGCUUGGGCGCUGCACGCGCUGGAUGCUUAUAGGUGUCCCAGAGAGCCCUUGGGGCCCGCGUGGGUGAGGGCCUGCUCGAGCCUCGGGAGAGUUGCAUUUCUCCGGAGAAGAGCGGGAAAAGGGCCAGGACAGCCCUCUUUGCUUUGCAGAAUGCUUGAGCAAAAAUCCAUUCCUUGGAGAACCACACUGGCUUCAAGUUACCAACCCUUCACACUUAUUAGGGCCAUCUAGGGGAAACAGCCCUAGAAGAGGCGGCGGCUUUAACGUCAGAACACUUGGAUUCAUUUCCUGUGCUGCUGUUUCCCAGCUGUAACAAGGCUUUAAAUCCUUCCCAGCCUCAUUUUCUUCCUCUGAAAUGGGCACAAUACUGAAAUGAGGAAUCGAGGAGAUACAGUAUGGAAAACAUUUAGGAACGGUCCCUAAAGAGCGGAUGACCCCUAGCAUGAGACUCAGACGAGAAGCGGGGAGAGGAGUCAGAGAGUGAGACAAGAUCCAACUUUGGCAUCUGAAGGUUUUUUGAAGGAGUGGACAUCAGACCAGGGUUUAAAAGAAAGGGUCACUAAUUUGGAUGAGGAAGCUGUGGCCUCUCCCUUCCCCUGUGCUGUAGCAAGCUAGUGAGUUUCUGUCCCUUGCAAACAGAAAGACUUCUGAAUGCACUGAAAUUUGGGGCCUUUGAAAGGAGUCCCUGAAGUUCAUCCAUUGGAAUCUUCUUUGGCUUCCGCUCUGACGGCUCUAUGUGACAGCCUCCUGGCCAGUCUUCCUGUCUUUAGUGGCCGGCUAGUUUCAGAAUGGACACCCAGUUCCUCAUGGUGGCCCCCAUGGUCCUCUGCAGCCCUGGUCGCUCCAGUUACUGUGUCCUCCAGUGUCGUGAAACACAAGAGGUUUCUCCCCAUGCUUUGUCUCCUCUCCCUGUGCGCAGGCAGCUUCUCCCUCCCGUGUUGGUCAUUCCCAUUGGCCCUUCUCUGUCUGGACCCCUACCUGCCACUCCUGAGCUGGACCUCUGGCUUCCUGCUGUAUUUGAUCACAGUGAGCUGGACUCAGAGAAGGGAGAAGGACCCUUCCUGCCUGCCCGGGCCACAACCCCAACCUGUGCCGUGUGACCUGGCUCAUCCUGUGUGUGAGAAAGGGCUCCCUCCCCUUGCUCCUCACACCUGAAGGAGGUGACUGUCACCGGCCCCCAGGUACAUCACCUGCUCCUGUGUCUGCCCUCUGCCUCGGUAAUUCUCCCUCGAAGGAGCUGCCAGUUCCUGCCAGGAUCCCAGCUGCCUGAACAGCCCGGGCUGCCCGCUGUGAGCCGCUCGCUGCAAACCCUCCUGCAGGCACAGAUGCACCCUUGAUUGGACCUCCCUCCCCUGAGCCAGUCAGAUUCUGAGCGAUCCAAGCUUCACACGUUUGCAGGACUCCGGGAAGCACUGUUGAAACUGCCGUGCUCCAGGACACACAGCUUACUUAGAACCCAGCCUCUCAUGUGCCCUAGGCCUGUGUGACAGGGUCAGACCGUGUUGGUCCCUGAGGUCACGCGAAGUUGCAUGCGGCAGUGGCCUCAGCACCCUGGACAGCAGAGGGUCAGCACCUAAGAGUCCUGCUGGGGAGAAACACCUGCCCAGACAAGGGGAUGGACAGGCCACAAGGGACACAGGCCCCUGAGGAAGAAGGAGAGCUGCAGGACGACAGCCCAGUGCCCUUGAGUUCUGCCUGUGCUUUCUGUGUCCAUCUGGAAGAUGCUUCUGUAUCUUUGCAAUACGUUUCUCUCUCACUGUCACAGGCUUCUGUCCUUGACAACCAAGUGAAGCUAGAUCAGGCCCCAAAGGUUUUUCUUCUUCGUCUUCACCUGGAUCACACCUCUCCUUCUCCCAGACACCUCCACUGUGAGCCCCGGUGGGGAAGUCUUCCCAGGACCGCCAGGAUAGCAUGGGGACCCCUGCCCUGAGCUCUUCCUUCAACCUGCUCAGGUUGUGUGUAAGGGCCUGCCUCCCACCCAACUCUCAAGUGUUCUGCUGCCCCCAGGUGGUGACAUGGGCAGGAGGCCCCUUGAAACAUCUCUGGUUCAAGGUCAAAGCCCCAAGCAGCACAGGCAUUGAACUAUCACACAGUAUCCCAUCAGUAUGUACAAUUAAAGUAUUACAUAUUAACUAAAAAGAAAAACUAGGGCCGGGGAUUUAGCUCAGUGGUUCCACCGCCUGCCCUGCAAGUGCAAGGUCCCGAGUUAAAUCCGUGGUUCCAGAAAAAAAAAAGAAAGAAAAACUGAAAUGAAAUAAGCCAGGGACCUUGGGACCAAAUGUCAAGAUGAAGGGGAGAAGGAGCAAGGAGCGUUGGAGCUCAGAGAGCUGGUCCUGCCCUGUGGCACAGUAGCAGCUGCAGCUCAAGGCUCCAUGCUGGGCUGGCUGCCCUCUCUACUUGCUGCUGUGCUCGAAUGGAGUGGAAAUCUCUUGAGGGGAGGAAGCGUAUCCCUCUGCUGAGAAAGUGAGAGGCUCAUUAUUUCACUGAGAUUUCAGACGUUGUGUUCAUUUGCUAUGGCUGCUCUGAAACUACACGAACCAGGUGGCUUAACAACAGAUAUCUUGGUCUCACAGUUCGAAAGGCUACAAAUCCAAGAUCAAGAUAUCCACGGAGCUGGUUCUGUCUGGGGCUUGUUCCAUGGCGCUCGGCUAACUUCUGGCAGCUGCCUGGCAGUAGCCGUGUCCUUUGGCUCGAGACACAUCACUCUCUACCUUCCCGUUCACAUGGAGUUCUCUCUGAGUGCUCAUCGCUGUCCAGAAUCUCUCCUUUUCUUAGGACAGAACUUGCAUCCAAUUGGAGACCCACCCUAUUCCAAUGUGAUCUCAUCUGAAUGAAUGACAUUGGCAACAGCCUUGUACUGUGUGUAGCUCCGAGGGCCUGUGGGUCACGACUCCAACAUGUGAAUGUCAGGGGUACAAAUUCAGCCCAAAACAGGUGCCAAGGGCCAGGUUGCCUCAGCAGCUGGAUGGUUUGUGAGAAGGCCCGGUCUCUUUUCUGUGCAUGCAUUCAUUCCCCAAAUCUGGUUCCCUCCUCAAAUGCUAGCUUUCUAACCUAUGUUUCUAACCUAUAGCUGUUCGUGUCCUUGCAAAAUGUAUGGGUUUAUAUUUCUAAUUCACGUAAGUUGAAUUCAUGGAAAUGUUAUAGAUGGCAAUGUUUCUUGGUUCUUUCCCUCGCCCAGCUGCACACACAUUGCUCUCUGUACAUCUACGCAGCAGCUUCUAACUGCUAACGAUUAUUCAGUGAUGUGGGUCCACCCUAAUCUACUCUCCACCCCCCUCCCAGGGAUGAAGACAGACUCGAGAUGCCAUAGGAAACAACACUGAGAAACAUCACAGCAUUUGCACCCUAUGAAUCCCCCUGAGAAUUUCCUUGGGAUCUAUGUAUUAAAUCUGUCAGGUCUUAGGGUACAUGGACC
ensembl:lncRNA